rnacentral:rRNA from 1 species
UACGAAGGGGGCGAGCGUUGUUCGGAAUUACUGGGCGUAAAGGGCGCGUAGGCGGCGACUCUAGUCAGAUGUGAAAGUCCUGGGCUUAACCUGGGGACUGCAUUUGAUACUGGGUUGCUUGAAUUCGGGAGAGGAUAGCGGAAUUCCCAGUGUAGAGGUGAAAUUCGUAGAUAUUGGGAAGAACACCGGUGGCGAAGGCGCACAUCUGGCCCGAUACUGACGCUGAAGCGCGAAAGCUAGGGGAGCAAACGGG